AUGAGCAUCCUGGCGCACGCGACCGUCGGCGGGUUCUUGACGCACUGUGGCCGGAACUCGCUGAUCGAAGGGCUCCUAUUCGGGCACCUACUUGUCAUCCUGCCCAUCUUCAGCGACCAAGGGCCCAACGCGCGGCAAAUGGAAGCGAAGAAGGUAGGGUUGCAGGUGGCGAGGGACAAGGAUGACGGGUCCUUCGACUGCCAUGGCGUCGCGAGUGCCGUCCGGGCAGUCAUGGUUGAGGGAGAAGAAAGAAGGGGCUUCGUGGCAAACGCACUGAAGAUGCAAGCGGUCGUAGCGGAUAAGGCACUCCAGGAUAGCUACAUCAACGAGUUUGUACAACACCUCAGAUCUUACGGCGCUGCAGGGGCAGAC
rnacentral:rRNA from 1 species